GAUGAACGCUGGCGGCGUGCCUAAUACAUGCAAGUCGAGCGAACAGAUGAGGAGCUUGCUCCUCUGACGUUAGCGGCGGACGUGUGAGUAACACGUGGAUAACCUACCUAUAAGACUGGGAUAACUUCGGGAAACCGGAGCUAAUACCGGAUAAUAUAUUGAACCGCAUGGUUCAAUAGUGAAAGACGGUUUUGCUGUCACUUAUAGAUGGAUCCGCGCCGCAUUAGCUAGGUGGUAAGGUAACGGCUUACCAAGGCAACGAUGCGUAGCCGACCUGAGAGGGUGAUCGGCCACACUGGAACUGAGACACGGUCCAGACUCCUACGGGAGGCAGCAGUAGGGAAUCUUCCGCAAUAGGCGAAAGCCUGACGGAGCAACGCCGCGUGAGUGAUGAAGGUCUUCGGAUCGUAAAACUCUGUUAUUAGGGAAGAACAAAUGUGUAAGUAACUAUGCACGUCUUGACGGUACCUAAUCAGAAAGCCACGGCUAACUACGUG
rnacentral:rRNA from 1 species